rnacentral:Y_RNA from 1 species
AGCUGCUUCGAUGGUAGUUGGUUAUCAGAACUUAUUAUUAACAUUAGUGUCACAAAAGUUGGUAUACAACCCUCCACUGCUAAAUUUGACUGGCUUAAA